UUUGAUUUCGAGAAGUUAUCAGAAUUUGGCAUCGACUUUUUGUUCGCAAUUUCUUCAUUUCAUUCGUUUGUUUAAUAAAUUUUCAAUCUACACGAGAAUUAGCAAUGGAUUUUUGUUGCUUUGAAUUUUAUCAUUCGAUGGGGGGGGGCACAAUGAAAAAUCUAAUGCUCCUUGUUAUAUUUUUUUAGUUUUUGAAAAUUAACCCUAUAAAUGUGACAUAUACCUCUAGAUUUCUUGUUUGGCCAUAUUUUCAAAAAAUAAGUCAAAUUUUAAAAUCUAAAAAAAAGUUUUUAAAAUUUUAUUUUUGUUUUUUAAAAUUCACUAAGAAUUCAACUCUUAUGCUUAGAAAGAUGCUAAUCAUGACAAGAAAAUGUGAGAAAAUAAACUUAAUUUUCAAAAACCAAAAAUUAAAAUCGAAAUGAUUUUCAAACUGAGUCUUAUAAUAAGUGGUAGUUAAAAAAGUAACCCUUCUGGUUGUAUUGUCCAUGAGUUCGUUUAAUUUAAUAAGUUUUUCUUUCUCGUGCUUUAGGAAUAUCUUUAUCAGUUCGAUAAUUAUUGUUUUGGGUUUUUUUUAUUAAAUUUAUUGGGGUUGCUGUCAUGAAGAAAGCGGCUUUUUGAAAAGGAAUAAGAAGUUUUUUCAGUAUAAUUUUAGGAUUUUGAAAAUGCUUUGGAUUGAAUUCUAUUCUUUGCUUACUGCUGGUAAAAAAUGAAAACCGUUUUUCUUUUUUUCUCUUGAGAUUUUAUUAUUAUCCCAUGAUGUCGAUUGCUUUUAUUAUUGAACACGGAUUUUAUGAAUGUAAUGUUGAAUUUGCGUUAAUAUAAAUGUAGAUUUCUUAACAUAUCCAUUUGUUUGGUUCUUCUUUAUGAUUAACGUCGUGGUUGAGUUGUUCUUGGCAUUGUUCUUAAAGAAUUACCUUCUGGAGGUAGCUUCUGAGGUCAAACUGGAAAGAAACUCUUAAUUCUGUUGUAGCAAAAAUUGUCAGAAGAUUUGGUUUUGCAUAUACAACUUAGUUUUCACCAUCCCUGGAUUAGGAUUUUUUUGCUUGCAGCACCCCGAUCACAUGGCAUAUACACUUUUUCGAAUAUCUUUACAACCUCUAUCUUUCGCUGUAAUGAUAUGAUGCUGCACGAAUGCAACAAUCUCUACACUCUUAUCUAAAAAAUGCAACAAUCUCUACACCGUUGGACAUUUGUGAUACUUGCAUAGAAAUAUGUGAUACUACAUUAUAAAUAUGUGUUAGAUUCAUGUUUCAAGAAGUACAGAGGAUAUCCAUCCAAUCUUCAACGGAUCUGUCGUGAGAGAUGUGUUGUACGUGUACCUAGUACAGUAUGUACAACAUAUAUGUUCUGCUUCUGACAGGCCAAGUCAACUGGUUGUGUAUUAUCAAGCAAGUGAAGUUGACUUUAAAUCAUCUUAUUUGAUUGGUGAAGGUGAUACUUCUAAUAUGCCAUAUCGGACAGCGUGAGGAGGAAAAAAUGAACUAUAUAAUCAAUGAAAUUCCAAAAAAAUCGGUGAUUCAUGUGGUAGCUUGUGUUAGCAUCUUGGUGGCGAGGGCUUCGGAUGCUUAGAGAUACUUUCUGGAGUCCUAUUUUAAAGAUCCUAAGGAUCCAUACUUGAACAAUGUCUUUGGAAAUUUAUAGGAAUCUACUCUAGAAUGCUACUGUGGAGUGCCAGCAAAACUAAGAAUGUCUCAGACAGAAAAAAAUCCAUUCAGGCUAUUCUACAACUGUCCAAAGGAGAUAUCUCAACAAUGUGGUUUCUUUCAUUGGGCUGAUGAACCCGAACCAUGUGAUGAUAGACAUGUCAAUGAACUAGACUUGAUCCGCAACGUGUGUCUUCGUCUAACAGAAAGAUUUGACGAAAUCGAAGAGGAACAUGAGGAUGAGAAAGCAGAGUGGGAAAGGGAAAAGGCUGAGUUAACAUUGAAACUAUCAACUCUGCAGAUUCAGUUUGAUGAUAUUCAUAAUAGAAUAAGGAUGUCGAAUGAGUCGUUUUCAAUGCCUCCUUUUGAUUCACUUUCCAUUAGGGACGAGAACGACGACACAUUAGUUGUAUAUACUUUGUAAUGAGACCAUUGUAAAUUAUAUCAAGUUGUGUGAGAGAUCAUGUAAAAAAAAUUUAAGCUAUCUAUUUUCGGUGUGACUUUGUUUGGUAACUAUUUUGUUACUUGCUUUCGUAGAAAAAUGAAAAUAUCGAAAUUCUAUAUGAAAA